GUUGUUGGGUAGGGGAGCGUUCUGUAAGCCUGUGAAGGUGUGCUGUGAGGCAUGCUGGAGGUAUCAGAAGUGCGAAUGCUGACAUAAGUAACGAUAAAGCGGGUGAAAAGCCCGCUCGCCGGAAGACCAAGGGUUCCUGUCCAACGUUAAUCGGGGCAGGGUGAGUCGACCCCUAAGGCGAGGCCGAAAGGCGUAGUCGAUGGGAAACAGGUUAAUAUUCCUGUACUUGGUGUUACUGCGAAGGGGGGACGGAGAAGGCUAUGUUGGCCGGGCGACGGUUGUCCCGGUUUAAGCGUGUAGGCUGGUUUUCCAGGCAAAUCCGGAAAAUCAAGGCUGAGGCGUGAUGACGAGGCACUACGGUGCUGAAGCAACAAAUGCCCUGCUUCCAGGAAAAGCCUCUAAGCAUCAGGUAACAUCAAAUCGUACCCCAAACCGACACAGGUGGUCAGGUAGAGAAUACCAAGGCGCUUGAGAGAACUCGGGUGAAGGAACUAGGCAAAAUGGUGCCGUAACUUCGGGAGAAGGCACGCUGAUAUGUAGGUGAAGUCCCUCGCGGAUGGAGCUGAAAUCAGUCGAAGAUACCAGCUGGCUGCAACUGUUUAUUAAAAACACAGCACUGUGCAAACACGAAAGUGGACGUAUACGGUGUGACGCCUGCCCGGUGCCGGAAGGUUAAUUGAUGGGGUCAGCGCAAGCGAAGCUCUUGAUCGAAGCCCCGGUAAACGGCGGCCGUAACUAUAACGGUCCUAAGGUAGCGAAAUUCCUUGUCGGGUAAGUUCCGACCUGCACGAAUGGCGUAAUGAUGGCCAGGCUGUCUCCACCCGAGACUCAGUGAAAUUGAACUCGCUGUGAAGAUGCAGUGUACCCGCGGCAAGACGGAAAGACCCCGUGAACCUUUACUAUAGCUUGACACUGAACAUUGAGCCUUGAUGUGUAGGAUAGGUGGGAGGCUUUGAAGUGUGGACGCCAGUCUGCAUGGAGCCGACCUUGAAAUACCACCCUUUAAUGUUUGAUGUUCUAACGUGGACCCGUGAUCCGGGUUGCGGACAGUGUCUGGUGGGUAGUUUGACUGGGGCGGUCUCCUCCUAAAGAGUAACGGAGGAGCACGAAGGUUGGCUAAUCCUGGUCGGACAUCAGGAGGUUAGUGCAAUGGCAUAAGCCAGCUUGACUGCGAGCGUGACGGCGCGAGCAGGUGCGAAAGCAGGUCAUAGUGAUCCGGUGGUUCUGAAUGGAAGGGCCAUCGCUCAACGGAUAAAAGGUACUCCGGGGAUAACAGGCUGAUACCGCCCAAGAGUUCAUAUCGACGGCGGUGUUUGGCACCUCGAUGUCGGCUCAUCACAUCCUGGGGCUGAAGUAGGUCCCAAGGGUAUGGCUGUUCGCCAUUUAAAGUGGUACGCGAGCUGGGUUUAGAACGUCGUGAGACAGUUCGGUCCCUAUCUGCCGUGGGCGCUGGAGAACUGAGGGGGGCUGCUCCUAGUACGAGAGGACCGGAGUGGACGCAUCACUGGUGUUCGGGUUGUCAUGCCAAUGGCACUGCCCGGUAGCUAAAUGCGGAAGAGAUAAGUGCUGAAAGCAUCUAAGCACGAAACUUGCCCCGAGAUGAGUUCUCCCUGACCCUUUAAGGGUCCUGAAGGAACGUUGAAGACGACGACGUUGAUAGGCCGGGUGUGUAAGCGCAGCGAUGCGUUGAGCUAACCGGUACUAAUGAACCGUGAGGCUUAACCUUACAACGCCGAAGGUGUUU
rnacentral:rRNA from 1 species